GACGAACGCUGGCGGCGUGCCUAACACAUGCAAGUCGAACGGAGUAGAUCCCUUCGGGGGUUUGCUUAGUGGCGAACGGGUGAGUAACGCGUGAGGAACCUGCCUUUCAGUGGGGGACAACAGUUGGAAACGACUGCUAAUACCGCAUAAGCCCACAGCUCGGCAUCGAGCAGAGGGAAAGGGAGUGAUCCGCUUUGAGAUGGCCUCGCGUCCGAUUAGCUGGUUGGCAGGGUGAUAGCCUACCAAGGCGACGAUCGGUAGCCGACCUGAGAGGGUGAUCGGCCACAUUGGAACUGAGAUACGGUCCAG
rnacentral:rRNA from 1 species